rnacentral:rRNA from 1 species
GACGAACGCUGGCGGCGUGCUUAACACAUGCAAGUCGAACGAAGAGCGAUGGAAGCUUGCUUCUAUCAAUCUUAGUGGCGAACGGGUGAGUAACGCGUAAUCAACCUGCCCUUCAGAGGGGGACAACAGUUGGAAACGACUGCUAAUACCGCAUACGAUCUGACCUCGGCAUCGAGGAUAGAUGAAAGGUGGCCUCUAUUUAUAAGCUAUCACUGAAGGAGGGGAUUGCGUCUGAUUAGCUAGUUGGAGGGGUAACGGCCCACCAAGGCGAUGAUCAGUAGCCGGUCUGAGAGGAUGAACGGCCACAUUGGGACUGAGACACGGCCCAGACUCCUACGGGAGGCAGCAGUGGGGAAUCUUCCGCAAUGGACGAAAGUCUGACGGAGCAACGCCGCGUGAGUGAUGACGGCCUUCGGGUUGUAAAGCUCUGUUAAUCGGGACGAAAGGCC